rnacentral:lncRNA from 1 species
CCGUCGUAUUGUUGUUGUUUUAGGAUCGAGUUAUUCCCCUUGGAACGUCCUAUUUUUCGACUUGUUGAAUCGUCACACCGCCGGUUUACCUAUCGAGAUUUUCUAUCAGUGAGCUUUUCUUCAACAAAAUAUCAAUAGUUAUCAUCUCAUCUAUAUGAAUAUACGUUACUAUUACGUGUGUCAUUUCAAUUUACAUUUAUUUAUUUUCAAGUAUCACUUCCGCGGCCCGUAUUUUCAUCUUUCAUCACCUAAUUUGCAAUGAAACAUUGUAUUUUCAGCCUUUUAAUAAUAACGUAGUAAAAGUUUGGAACCUGCCGC